UCAGACUAAGACAUGCAAGUCGUGAGGGUUCGGCCCUCGCGAGACGGCUCAGUAACACGUGGAUAAUCUACCCUUAGGUGGAGGAUACCCUCGGAAACUGAGAAUAAUACUCCAUGGAUCUAGACUGCUGGAAUGCUUUUAGAUCGAAAGAUUUAUCGCCUAAGGAUGAGUCUGCGGACUAUCAGGUUGUAGUCAGGGUAAUGACCUGACUAGCCUACGACGGAUACGGGUAGUGAGAGCUUUAGCCCGGAGAUGAUACCUGAGACACGAUAUCAGGCCCUACGGGGCACGAGGCGGAAAACUUCGCACUGUGCGAAAGCGAGCGGGGGAAUCCCCAAGUCUUGCUCGGUAGAGUCAGCUGUUUCUCUGUCU
rnacentral:rRNA from 1 species